rnacentral:rRNA from 1 species
AACGAACGCUGGCGGCGUGCCUAACACAUGCAAGUCGAGUGAGAAAGUCCCCGCAAGGGGAUAAGUAAAGCGGCGAACGGGUGAGUAACACGUGGGCAACCUGCCCUUCAGUCAGGAAUAACCCCGCGAAAGCGGGGCUAAUACCGGAUAAUGUCCUUUGGGGGCAUCCUCGGGGGACCAAAGGGGGCGAGCGAAAGCGGCUCCCGCUGAAGGAUGGGCCUGCGGCUGAUUAGCUAGUUGGUGGGGUAGCGGCCUACCAAGGCGACGAUCAGUGGCCGACCUGAGAGGGUGACCGGCCACACUGGGGCUGAGACACGGCCCAGACUCCUACGGGAGGCAGCAGUGGGGAAUAUUGCGCAAUGGGCGAAAGCCUGACGCAGCGACGCCGCGUGGGUGAUGAAGGCCUUCGGGUCGUAAAACCCUGUCGGGUGGAACGAAUUCCGCUUCGCUAAUACCGGAGCGGUUUGACGGUACCACCGAAGGAAGCCCCGGCUAACUACGUGCCAGCCGCCGCGGUAACAC